rnacentral:lncRNA from 1 species
UUUAAGUGUUUAUGAGGAAUGUUGUUGUAUGUUUGGAUGGGACAAUGUGCAAAAAGGUUCGAAGUUGAGAGUAUUGAGUACUGAUAGGGUAGUUAUGACUUAGGUUCAAGCCAAGAUCCCAUUCCAGGAUCCAUCACUUAUAGCAUGAUGAUGAAGAUCCAAGAAGCAUGAUGAGGAAGACCAAGAAGGAAGUGAAGAUCCAUCCAAGGAAGGAGAAAUGAAGACUUUAUUCACUUGGACCAA